GAUGAAGAACGUAGCGAAAUGCGAUAAGUAAUGUGAAUUGCAGAAUUCAGUGAAUCAUCGAGUCUUUGAACGCACAUUGCGCCCCCUGGUAUUCCGGGGGGCAUGCCUGUCCGAGCGUCAUUGCUGCCCUCAAGCACGGCUUGUGUGUUGGGCUCCGCCCCCCUCCCGGGGGGCGGGCCCGAAAGGCAGCGGCGGCACCGCGUCCGGUCCUCGAGCGUAUGGGGCUUUGUCACCCGCUCUGUAGGCCCGGCCGGCGCCCGCCGGCGACCCCAAUCAAUCUUUCCAGGUUGACCUCGGAUCAGGUAGGGAUACCCGCUGAACUUAAGCAUAUCAAAUAAGCGGAGGA
rnacentral:misc_RNA from 1 species